UGCCUACGGGGCGCAGCAGUGGGGAAUAUUGGGCAAUGGGCGCAAGCCUGACCCAGCAACGCCGCGUGAAGGAAGAAGGCUUUCGGGUUGUAAACUUCUUUUAAGAGGGAAGAGUAGAAGACGGUACCUCUUGAAUAAGCCACGGCUAACUACGUGCCAGCAGCCGCGGUAAUACGUAGGUGGCAAGCGUUGUCCGGAUUUACUGGGUGUAAAGGGCGUGUAGCCGGGCCGGCAAGUCAGAUGUGAAAACUAUGGGCUCAACCCAUAGCCUGCAUUUGAAACUGUAUUUCUUGAGUGCUGGAGAG
rnacentral:rRNA from 1 species